rnacentral:lncRNA from 1 species
UUAUAAAAGAAACACAAGAAAAUCCUAAAGAAAUAUUAAAGAAUAUUAAAGAAAACUUAGUCAAAUCCUAACAAAAAUCUAAUAAAAUCUUAAAUUCUAACCAACCCCUAAUCCUAAUCUAACUUUAAUCAAAUCCUAAAUAAAUCCUAAAUCCUAAUCAAAUCCUAAACCAAAUCCUAAAUUCUAAACCCUAAAUCAAAUCUUAAUCAAAUCUUAAUCAAAUCCUAAACCAAACCCUGAAUUCUAAUCCGAAUCCUAAUCCAAAUCCUAAUCCAAAUCCUAAUCCCUAAAUCAAAUCCUAAACCAAACUCUAAAUCCUAAAUCCUAAGCCAAAUCCUAACCAAACCCUAAUCCUAAAUCCUAAACCAAAUCCUAACCAAACCCUAAUCCUAAAUCCUAAUCAAACCC